rnacentral:rRNA from 1 species
GACGAACGCUGGCGGCGUGCCUAAUACAUGCAAGUCGAACGAGAGCGACCGGUGCUUGCACUGGUCAAUCUAGUGGCGAACGGGUGAGUAACACGUGGGUAACCUGCUCAUCAGAGGGGGAUAACAUCCGGAAACGGAUGCUAAAACCGCAUAGGUCUUCGAGCCGCAUGGCUUGAAGAGGAAAAGAGGCGCAAGCUUCUGCUGAUGGAUGGACCCGCGGUGCAUUAGCUAGUUGGUGAGGUAACGGCUCACCAAGGCCGUGAUGCAUAGCCGACCUGAGAGGGUGAUCGGCCACAUUGGGACUGAGACACGGCCCAAACUCCUACGGGAGGCGGCAGUAGGGAAUCUUCCGCAAUGGACGCAAGUCUGACGGAGCAACGCCGCGUGAGUGAAGAAGGUUUUCGGAUCGUAAAACUCUGUUGUUAGAGAAGAACAAGUGCUAGAGUAACUGUUAGCGCCUUGACGGUAUCUAACCAGAAAGCCACGGCUAACUACGUG